rnacentral:rRNA from 1 species
GGUGUUAGAGUUUGAUCAUGGCUCAGAUUGAACGCUGGCGGCAGGCCUAACACAUGCAAGUCGGACGGUAGCACAGAGGAGCUUGCUCCUCGGGUGACGAGUGGCGGACGGGUGAGUAAUGUCUGGGGAUCUGCCCGAUAGAGGGGGAUAACCACUGGAAACGGUGGAAUACCGCAUAACGUCGCAAGACCAAAGAGGGGGACCUUCGGGCCUCUCACUAUCAGAUGAACCCAGAUGGGAUUAGCUAGUAGGCGGGGUAACGGCCCACCUAGGCGACGAUCCCUAGCUGGUCUGAGAGGAUGACCAGCCACACUGGAACUGAGACACGGUCCAGACUCCUACGGGAGGCAGCAGUGGGGAAUAUUGCACAAUGGGCGCAAGCCUGAUGCAGCCAUGCCGCGUGUAUGAAGAAGGCCUUCGGUUGUAAAGUACUUUCAGCGGGGAGGAAGGCAGUGAGGUUAAUAACCUUACUGAUUGACGUACCCGCAGAAGAAGCACCGGCUAACUCCGUGCCAGCAGCCGCGGUAAUACGGAGGGUGCAAGCGUUAAUCGGAAUUACUGGGCGUAAAGCGCACGCAGGCGGUCUGUUAAGUCAGAUGUGAAAUCCCCGGGCUUAACCUGGGAACUGCAUUUGAAACUGGCAGGCUUGAGUCUCGUAGAGGGGGGUAGAAUUCCAGGUGUAGCGGUGAAAUGCGUAGAGAUCUGGAGGAAUACCGGUGGCGAAGGCGGCCCCCUGGACGAAGACUGACGCUCAGGUGCGAAAGCGUGGGGGAGCAAACAGGAUUAGAUACCCUGGUAGUCCACGCCGUAAACGAUGUCG